rnacentral:rRNA from 1 species
UACGGGGGGGGCAAGCGUUGUUCGGAAUCACUGGGCGUAAAGGGCUCGUAGGUGGCCAACUAAGUCAGACGUGAAAUCCCUCGGCUUAACCGGGGAACUGCGUCUGAUACUGGAUGGCUUGAGUUCGGGAGAGGGAUGCGGAAUUCCAGGUGUAGCGGUGAAAUGCGUAGAUAUCUGGAGGAACACCGGUGGCGAAGGCGGCAUCCUGGACCGACACUGACACUGAGGAGCGAAAGCCAGGGGAGCAAACGGG